UGAGGAAUAUUGCGCAAUGGGCGAAAGCCUGACGCAGCGACGCCGCGUGGAGGAUGAAGGUUUUCGGAUUGUAAACUCCUGUUAAGUGGGAAGAAACGACAAAAUAUAAUACAUUUUGUAACUGACGGUACCAUUAAAGAAAGCACCGGCUAACUUCGUGCCAGCAGCCGCGGUAAUACGAGGGGUGCAAGCGUUAUUCGGAAUUAUUGGGCGUAAAGGGUGCGUAGGCGGCGUAUUAAGUCAACUGUUAAAAAGCCUCCAGCCUAACUGGAGAUCAGCAGUAGAUACUGGUAUGCUAGAGGAUGGAAGAGAGAGUGGAAUUCUUGGAGUAGCGGUGGAAUGCGUAGAUCUCAAGAGGAACACCAAUGGCGAAGGCAGCUUCUUGGUCCAUAUCUGACGCUGAUGCACGAAAAGCGUGGGGAGCAAACAGGAUUAGAUACCCUGGUAGUCCACGCCGUAAACGAUGAUCACUAGAUGUUAAUUCUGCUUGCAGAAUUAGUGUCGUAGCUAACGCGAUAAGUGAUCCGCCUGGGGACUACGGUCGCAAGAUUAAAAU
rnacentral:rRNA from 1 species